rnacentral:tRNA from 1 species
AAAGAGGUUUUAAACAAUAAGGACUGCUAAUCCUUUAUCCCCACGGCUAAAUUCCG